rnacentral:rRNA from 1 species
AUUGAACGCUGGCGGCAGGCCUAACACAUGCAAGUCGAGCGAGCGGCGGACUGGUGAGUUAUGUAUGGGGAUCUGCCCGAGAGAGGGGGAUAACUACUGGAAACGGUUGCUAAUACCGCCUACUCUCGCAUGAACCCAUAUGGGAUUAGCUAGUGGGUGGGGGAAAGGCGCAACUAGGCGACGACCUCUAGUUGGUCUGAGAGGAUGAUCAGCCACACUGGGACUGAGACACGGUCCAGACUCCUACGGGAGGCAGCAGUGGGGAAUAUUGCACAAUGGGCGAAAGCCUGAUGCAGCCAUGCCGCGUGUGUGAAGAAGGCCUUAGGGUUGUAAAGUACUUUCAGCGGGGAGGCGUUACCCGCAGAAGAAGCACCGGCUAACUCCGUGCCAGCAGCCGCGGUAAUUC